CCUACGGGAGGCAGCAGUGGGGAAUAUUGCGCAAUGGCCGAAAGGCUGGCGCAGCGACGCCGCGUGGGGGAUGAAGCAUUUCGGUGUGUAAACCCCUGUUGCUCGAGACGAACAAGCCUUUUCGAGGGCUCUGACGGUACCGAGUGAGGAAGCACCGGCUAACUCCGUGCCAGCAGCCGCGGUAAUACGGAGGGUGCGAGCGUUGUCCGGAAUCACUGGGCGUAAAGGGCGCGUAGGCGGUCUGCUAAGCGUGUGGUGAAAGCUCGGGGCUCAACCCCGAGUCGGCCAUGCGAACUGGCGGACUUGAGCACUGUAGAGGCAGGUGGAAUUCCGGGUGUAGCGGUGGAAUGCGUAGAGAUCCGGAAGAACACCGGUGGCGAAGGCGGCCUGCUGGGCAGUAGCUGACGCUGAGGCGCGAUAGCGUGGGGAGCAAACAGGAUUAGAUACCCUGGUAGUCCACGCCGUAAACGAUGGGUACUAGGUGCUUGGGGGAGCGACCCCCCGAGUGCCGGCGCUAACGCAUUAAGUACCCCGCCUGGGGAGUACGACCGCAAGGUUGAAACUCAAAGGAAUUGACGG
rnacentral:rRNA from 1 species